UUCAAUGUGGCAGAAUAGUGCAGCAGAUUUAAGAUCUUCUUAUAAAGAUUUUCUUUCUUUAGAA
rnacentral:tRNA from 1 species